GAUGAACGCUAGCGGCAGGCCUAAUACAUGCAAGUCGAACGGUAGAUCGGGUAGCAAUACUUGAUUGAGAGUGACGUAAGGGUGCGUAACACGUAUGCAAUCUACCCUCAACAGGAGUAUAGCUCGGGGAAACUCGGAUUAACACUCCAUAACAUUACGAUGUGGCAUCACAUUGUGAUUAAAACUCCGGUGGUUGAGGAUGAGCAUGCGUCUGAUUAGUUAGUUGGAGGUGUAACGGACCCCCAAGACGAUGAUCAGUAGGGGAACGUANAGAGGUUGAUCCCCCACCACUGGCACUGAGAUACGGGCCGAGACU
rnacentral:rRNA from 1 species